rnacentral:rRNA from 1 species
UACGUAGGGUGCAAGCGUUAAUCGGAAUUACUGGGCGUAAAGCGUGCGCAGGCGGUUUCGUAAGUCUGUCGUGAAAGCCCCGGGCUCAACUUCGGAAUUGCCUUUGAUACUGUCUGUCUUGAGUCCGGGAGAGGUGAGUGGAAUUCCUAGUGUAGAGGUGAAAUUCGUAGAUAUUAGGAAGAACACCAGUGGCGAAGGCGGCUCACUGGCCCGGUACUGACGCUCAUGUGCGAAAGCGUGGGGAGCGAUCUGGAUUAG